GAUGAACGCUGGCGGCGUGCCUAAUACAUGCAAGUCGAGCGAACAGACGAGGCGCUUGCUCCUCUGACGUUAGCGGCGGACGGGUGAGUCACACGUGAAUAACCUACCUAUAUGACUGAGAUAACUUCGGGAAACCGGAGCUAAUACCGUAUAAUAUAUUGAACCGCAUGGUUCAGUAAUGAAAGACGGUUUUGCUGUCACUUAUCGAUGGAUCCGCGCCGCAUUAGCUAGUUGGUAAGGUAACGGCUUACCAAGGCAACGAUGCGUAGCCGACCUGGGAGGGUGAUCGGCCACACUGGAGCUGGGACACGGUCCAGACUCCUAAGGGAGGCAGCAGUAGGGAAUCGUCCGCAAUGGGCGAAAGCCUGACGGAGCAACGCCGCGUGAGUGAUGAAGGUCUUCGGAUCGUAAAACUCUGUUAUGAGGGAAGAACAAAUGUGUAAGUAACUAUGCACGGCUUGACGGUACCUAAUCAGAAAGCCACGGCUAACUACGUG
rnacentral:rRNA from 1 species